GGAGAAUAGGUUAGGGGGAAUAAGUUAGGGGGAAUAGGUUAGGGGGAAUGAGUUAGGGAGAAUAGGUUAGGGAGAAUUAGUUAGGGAGAAUAGGUUAGGGAGAAUUAGUUAGGGGGAAUAGGUUAGGGAGAAUUAGUUAGGGAGAAUAGGUUAGGGAGAAUUAGUUAGGGAGAAUAGGUUAGGGAGAAUUAGUUAGGGGGAAUAGGUUAGGGAGAAUUAGUUAGGGAGAAUAGGUUAGGGAGAAUGAGUUAGGGAGAAUAGGUUAGGGAGAAUUAGUUAGGGAGAAUAGGUUAGGGAGAAUUAGUUAGGGGGAAUAGGUUAGGGGGAAUAGGUUAGGGGGAAUAGGUUAGGGAGAAUAGGUUAGGGAGAAUGAGUUAGGGAGAAUAGGUUAGGGAGAAUUAGUUAGGGGGAAUAGGUUAGGGAGAAUUAGUUAGGGAGAAUAGGUUAGGGAGAAUUAGUUAGGGGGAAUAGGUUAGGGAGAAUAAGUUAGGGGGAAUAGGUUAGGGGGAAUAGGUUAGGGAGAAUUAGUUAGGGGGAAUAGGUUAGGGAGAAUAGGUUAGGGGGAAUAGGUUAGGGAGAAUUAGUUAGGGGGAAUAGGUUAGGGGGAAUAGGUUAGGGGGAAUAGGUUAGGGAGAAUUAGUUAGGGGGAAUAGGUUAGGGAGAAUAGGUUAGGGGGAAUAGGUUAGGGGGAAUAGGUUAGGGCGAAUAGGUUCGGGGGAAUAGGUUAGGGGGAAUAGGUUAGGGGGAAUAGGUUAGGGGGAAUA